GAGCCAGCAUGCUCAGAAUGAAAUGGAAGCUGCGUUGUUGAAGGCAGAGCAAAGACAGUCAUUGCAAGCAGUGAGGGGCCCCUCCCAGGGACCUGACAAGUGAAGAAAAGUCGAACAAAAGACAGUCUGGUUGUAUCUCUCCUGCGGAGGUCCCAUCUCCUGAUCUCUUGGUGGAUGACCCUCUCUGCCCGGCGCUUGCUUGCUCUCUCUCUCAGUUCCGGUACCCACUCUCUCCUCUUCGCACUUAGGAAUGGUAUGGUUGUAUGAACAUUUUGCUCUGAGAAAAGAGUGAGUGAGCAAGCCGGAAUCUGUGUCCAAGGAGGUAAGUGUGUGAACCCACGCCUUUGCUUGUCUUUUUAUUUUGCAUACGAGCACUCUGGCCACUUGUUCAUGCUUCCUUCCUCGUACAGGCUUCUGCCCCAAGCUGGCGUGGGAGGCAGACCACAUACAUGGAUGAUGCUAUAAUGUGAUGUGAUGGUGGAUGGAUGCUGAAAGUAUAAUGGGCGCAUAGAGGAAGGAGGGAC